GCCUAUAGCAAGCUGUCCGACAUUAAUAGGCCUACAUAUAAAACUGAAUGUGGUACAUUGUAACUUUUAAAAGUUAUAGUUGGCCUAUCUAGUAUCUAAUGUUGUAGAAAUUACUGAGUAAGACUUAACCUUCCUAUUACAAGGAGAAGAGACCAUCAAUGCCCACAUUAGUCUAUAUCACAGUCCCAACCACAGAUCUCCAAAAUCCAACAGGUGGUUACCAUGUAGCAUAUAGCCUAAUAUUCCAAAUCCUAAUGAAAACGUUUUUUUUUAACCAAUGCUUGCCAGUAGGUAACGUGGGUUUAUUUAUGCAUGAACCAGAGUGUGUGAGUCUGAGGAAUCUGUGGACAAACUGCAGGUUUAUAACUUCAGCGUCGUAAAAGGAUUCGCCAUCUUCCCGUUUUCACGGAGGACCUGAAUGCAGCACAAGAGGAAACGCUUCAUGGUGGGUUGGAGUGUGAAGCCGUGGCGGAGCUGCGGUACCAUUCUGCGCAACUAAACGAGAGGAAUCCUCCAGCCGGUGAUCUGGAGAACCCUGCCGUCUAUGCAUUCAAGUUGACAAACAAUCAGAUGCCACUGAAUCUUCUGAGGCCGACUUCUUCAGAACAACAGAGCAGACUCCUCAGAGAUCGUCCUGCUUCUAGACACAGGGCUUAGACGAACCAGAACCCUUACCUCUGAUGAACAAAGUUGGGAUGAAUUCUUCCCUGGUGGACUACACAGAUUCUGAUGAAUCUCAGAGUCCAAGCACAAAUUAUGACCAGUUUAAUUCAAGCUGCCAGGUCGCCGGACUUUCAAGAAAAGGAUGUGGGAGAAGAAAUUCUUGCAGUCAAGAAGCACAUGGUGUCCGUUAUCACUUCAUGCCAUGUUCUGGGAAAAACUGACUGUUAUGAGUGCCUUGAACUGAAGAAAGUAGCUCUUAAAAACAAAUCAUGGCUGGCCAUUAAAUUCUACAUUAAAAAUCGAAUCACAGCUCUCAAGGGCAAAGUUUAAAACUAUUCUGUUAGCACCUGUAAUGCUUGUUUUGUCACGUUUAAAUCAUACCGUCAUGUUCAUUUAAGUAAGACGUCUCAAAUGUGGAAUGUUGUCUACAUUACAUGGGUGGUACCCAGUCCUAAGAAAAGGUGAGAUGUUGCUUGUGAACAGAGCCUGUAAGCAUUCAAGGGAGUUGAGUUGCCUUAAGAUUCCAGCAGUUGAAAUUAAAAGUUUUCAUUCAGUCUAUUUGUUGUUUCUAUUUGUUGGGACUUGUGUCCUGUAAAAUGCUAACCUUAAUUUGCGUUACUAGGCUUCAUAUUGAAAUAUCCUGAAGAAAUAGAAGAGAACAUUUUCUGAUAAAGGGAGUGUGGAAACAGUUCACUAAUAAGAGGGACACUUAUGUUGCACUUAGCAACUUUAUCACAGCAUGAUGACUAAUAAUAUAAUAAUACUUUACAGGCCUAAUUAUUUAUUUGAACCUUUUCAACCUUUCCAGUAUAUAAUAUAAUUGUGUUGUACAAUUACAUAACAGAACCUGAAUUUUGGCAGAAAUUAUGGUCCAGCAAAUAUCUUGGCACAUGACAGCUGUAGGUGUUCAGUGACUCUCAAAGUAAGUUUAACCUGAAUGUGUGUCAAGUGGUACCCAGAAGACUGAAAAACCAGAUAGUGUGUAUAGUCUGACCCCAUUAAUAACUAAAUACCUGACAAGUCCCCAGGAAGUGGUUCCUAGUCAGAUCAUGGAACUACUUAGUCUGAUUGAUCAUUUGAUGUGACAUCUGUGUUUAUGCCCACUCCAGUAUACUUUUACUGAUUUUUUUUUUUACUGCUGUUCAACCUUCAGAAAGGGUGGUUCCCAGAAUGCAUGAUCCUGUCAGGUGGUCACAAAAUGCCACAAAGUCGAGGCUGUGUUUGUGAAUGUUACUUGCAUUUUGAUGAGCAGUUGACACCUUGCAUGGUAGCCUCUGCCAUCAGUGCAGGAAUGUGUGUGUGAAUGGGGUGAAUGUGACAUGUAGUGUAAAGAGCUUUAAGUGGUCGGAAGACUAGAAAGGCACUAUGUAAGUACAGUCCAUUUACCAUUUCAUUUCGUGAGUUCGGUGUCCCUAUUUGCUAUUGUACUCCAAGGGAGAAUUAAACGUCAUAGUGGUCAUUGAAAUGUCUGUGUUUGGCCUUUCUGUUAAAUUACUUUUACUUGCUAGCUUAAACAUGUGUACUUGUGUAAUACGCUAAUAUAUUCCUGUCUCUUAAUUUGUGUAAGAGCUCAAAUUACAUUAUCACAACUUUUGUCAGAAUAAAUGGAGAUCACCUCCAAA